UUCUGCUUCUGCCUCCAGGCGCCUGCCCUGCCCUCCCUCAAUGAGGCCUGAGCUCUGGACGCAUAAGCCAAAUAAAACCCUUUUCUCCCCCAGUUGCUUGCGGUGUUUAUUGCAGCAAUAGAGGAUAAACUAAGACAGGACAAUAUCCGAAGGCUCACCACUGAACUCUUUCCAGGUCUUAGACUCAUCACUUAUUGGGCCAAGGCCUGCAACCCUAGAUCUGUAGCCAUCUCUGGAAGAAGGCUCCAACCCCAGAAAUGCUGUGUUCAGAAGGUCAACAUGGAGCAGGGCAACAGAGCGAUGGAGCGAGAAAGACAGAACAUGGGGACAGGAUUGUGAAUUCCACAUGACCGAGUCUUGGGAUGUCAAGUGAGGUCCAUUCUCUGUCUUUUUUUGGGUGACGGAACUGCUGACUAGACGGACAUCUUCAACUCAACUAAGUGUCAGCAAACAGGUGACCUUGUCGGAUGUAACCAAUAGCAUGAGACUCGGCUCCAUUCGUACCUUUGCAAGAGGAUCCACGGCUACUCUACUGAGUGGUUGGGUUCUCUGGAGACGUCUAGUCCAAAUUAAUGUGUCAGACAAAAAGAAACUGAGGCACGUCUUGACUUUGUGAAGGGCACAAGACUAUGGAGUAAGGAGACUAAAGCAAAGAGAUGAUGCUUCUCCUAUCUGAGAUGACGAUGAUGUUUCUCCUAUCUGAGAUGACAAAGAUGCUUCGCCUGUCUGAGAGGACAAUCAUUACCCUUGACUUAGCUUUUUUGCUUGUUUGUUUUUGUUUUUGUUUUGUUUUGUUUUGUUUUUGUCUUUCCAGACAGGAGUUCUCUGUGUAGCUUUGGACCCUGUCCUGAA